rnacentral:lncRNA from 1 species
ACCUGAACAUUGAUUUGACGGUGAUCUACAUCCCACACGCGAAAUCAAUGACUCACGAGCAAGGAUGCGUGAGAGAGCUCGGCCAGCCAUAAGCGUAUCACGACCGUUCGUUCGUGAUCGGACGUUAACUCGUAUAGACGAAUGAGAGGGCUUCAAACUGGCUUCGGGAGUAGCAGCCCCCAGGACAGUCGGCCCGUUAGUAGCCCACGCAUGAGUGGAGGCGCAUGAGACAGCCCAGUUCGCGACCUGAACAUUGAUUUGACGGUGAUCUACAUUCCACACGCGAAAUCAACGGCUCAC